UAGAUAGAUAGAUAGAUAGAUAGAUAGAUAGAUAGAACUGCAACAGGAUGGUUGUAGAUAGAGACAGAUAGAUAGAGACAGAAUGAUAGAACGAACGAAUGAACGAUAGAUAGAUAGAUAGAUAGAUAGAUAGAUACUAGCGCCCUCUAUGGUCUGGCAGUAUUAAUACAAACAACCAAAUUCACUAAACCGGCCUCUUCUUCAAAAUCCACCUUUCAGCCGCGGGUCAGAUUGUGUUUUAUCGACACAGAACACAAUGUAUGGGUUAAAAGGAUUUGAGACUUUGAAUCGUUGUGUUAGUUCAGCACUGCUAUCAGCUCUCCAGCAAUCAUCACACCACAACAAAUGCACUUUCUUCACUGGAGCUCUGGGUAAAUGAACACAGUUAUCCUGAUGCCAGCAGACACCGGCACACAUGGACGCUGAGCUCGGAAACAUGGCACGGUCAAAGACCAAGACCGAAAAUCGCAUGCAUUUGUGCAUGUACAUGAGAGUGAAUGAGAAAUUAAAAUGAGGCUUUUACUGUAUGCGUAUUCUGUGAAUGAACAUAAACUGCAAUUAUGGCCUUUUAUUUAAAUGUAUUUUAAUCUAUUUUUAAAAGGCAGCUUUUCUUACUUUUUUGUGUUCAUAAAUGUAACUUUAAACUCGACUCGAAUCAAAAUUGUGUAUGAAAUGUGCCAAAUAAAUAACUUGCAAUCUUGAGAUCCUGCAUAUUGACUUCAGAACAUGUGUAAUAUAGCGCAAGUCACAUUGUCUACAUUUAUGAUACUUUUAUUGUGUUUUAUGUAU